UCAUCAUAUUAGCUGCUUCUUAUUAUGACUAAGAUUAUGAUGAACCCUAAAGAUUAGGGUAAUGAUUUUAGAAGAUAUGAAUGGGUCAUGCUAGUGAGACCUAAAAUCCUAAAAUCUUAAUCUUAAAUAUUUUUGAUCAUAGGAACAUUGAGUCAGAGAUCAAUAUUUCGGAUAGACUGGCACAUCCUAAGUAUGCUCGAUGGAGAGGGUGGC
rnacentral:lncRNA from 1 species